rnacentral:rRNA from 1 species
AUACGUAGGGGGCAAGCGUUGUCCGGAAUUAUUGGGCGUAAAGGGUGCGUAGGCGGCCUUUUAAGUCAGAUGUGAAAGCCCACGGCUUAACCGUGGGAUUGCAUUUGAAACUGGAGGGCUUGAGUAUCGGAGAGGGUAGUGGAAUUCCCAGUGUAGCGGUGAAAUGCGUAGAUAUUGGGAGGAACACCAGUGGCGAAGGCGACUACCUGGACGAAAACUGACGCUGAUGCACGAAAGCUAGGGGAGCAAACAGGAUUAGAUACCCUGGUAGUCCUAGCUGUAAACGAUGGGUACUAGGUGUAGGGGGUUUCGAUACCCUCUGUGCCGGAGUUAACGCAUUAAGUACCCCGCCUGGGGAGUACGUGCGCAAGCAUGAA